rnacentral:lncRNA from 1 species
AAAGGAUUACAAAAGGGGAAGUAAAAGCACUUGGGCUGUUACAAAAUUGUCCUCCCAUCUAGGGGUGAGACCAAGAAGGAAGAAGAAGGAGGGCUCCCCCUCUCCCCCGGUGGCACCGGAACACCGCCGAGGCAACCAUCGCGACGACGAUCUACACCAACAACGUCACUAUCGUCACCACCAACUCUCUCCCCCUCUAUUCAUCAUUGUAAAACCUCUCUUCCCUGCUGUAAUAUCUACUUAAAAAUGGU